rnacentral:rRNA from 1 species
GGACUACUGGGGUAUCUAAUCCUGUUUGCUCCCCACGCUUUCGCGCCUCAGCGUCAGUAUCGGGCCAGUGUGUCGCCUUCGCCACUGGUGUUCUUCCGAAUAUCUACGAAUUUCACCUCUACACUCGGAGUUCCACACACCUCUCCCGAACUCUAGGUGCCCAGUAUCAAAGGCAGUUCCAGGGUUGAGCCCUGGGAUUUAACCUCUGACUUAAACACCCGCCUACGCGCCCUUUACGCCCAGUAAUUCCGAGCAACGCUAGCCCCCUUCGUAUUACCGCGGCUGCUGGCAC